UCUCUUGCUUUUUUGCUCAAGGGAGAAACUUGGGUUGUCUAGAACUUUCUUGUUCACACCUUGCAACUCCAGAAGCUUGGCACCUGUUGUGGAAAGGUACUUAGCUUGAGUUGAAAAAGCAGUAGCAGCUGAGUUGAAAGGGUUCAAAGUUGCUCACCUCCGCUGCUCUCCUAAUUUAUGCUUAUGGUGCUGGUGGCUUUCCUGCUUGGGGCAUUAAUUUGCUGAACUGUUGCUGUUUUGCUGAAUUGUUGCUGUUUAACUAUUUUGUCCUAAUUUCAUGAGCAGUUGCUGUUUAACUACAUUUAAAGAACUAGAAUUGCUGAAUUGUUCUAGUUUUUUAGGCUAUUAUGUUUUCUUUUUUGCUGGGACCUUGGAUGUUUAACUCACUUGAGAGAGUGUGUUCUCA